AGCAAUUUACAAAAACAGUUGAAGGUGUACACCUAUUGAAACAUGGUCAUAAUAUAAACCAUAUAUUAGUUACUUAAGAGUAUUUGGGUGUAUUUAUUACAUUUAUGUACCGGUAGAAAAAUAACACAAGCUUAAUGACAAAGCAAAAAAAAAAAAUCUUUUUUGGCUACAGGUUUCAAUCAAAAGGAUAUAGAGUGUACAACUCAUAUACUUGUAAAGUUGAAGUUAAUAAAGAUGUUGU
rnacentral:lncRNA from 1 species